rnacentral:rRNA from 1 species
UACGUAGGGGGGCAAGCGUUGUCCGGAUUUAUUGGGCGUAAAGAGCGUGUAGGCGGCCAGGUAGGUCCGCUGUGAAAGUCCGAGGCUCAACCUCGGAAUGUCGGCGGAAACCCUCUGGCUAGAGUCCGGGAAGAGGAGAGUGGAAUUCCCGGUGUAGCGGUGAAAUGCGCAGAUAUCGGGAAGAACACCCGUGGCGGAAGGCGGCUCUCUGGACAGUUCCUGACGCUGAGGCACGAAGGCCAGGGGAGCAAACGGGAUUAGAAACCCC